rnacentral:misc_RNA from 1 species
GCAAACUUGGUCAUUUAGAGGAAGUAAAAGUCGUAACAAGGUUUCCGUAGGUGAACCUGCGGAAGGAUCAUUAUCAAGUAUCGGCGAGGGCCCUCCGGGGCUCCUCUGUCUGACACCCUUGUCUUUUUGCGUACUGUACGUUUCCUCGGUGGGCUCGCCUGCCGAUAGGACACUUCAAACUCUUCUGUAAUUGCAAUCAGCGUCAGAAAACAACUAUAAUAGUUACAACUUUCAACAACGGAUCUCUUGGUUCUGGCAUCGAUGAAGAACGCAGC